AACGCUAGCUACAGGCUUAACACAUGCAAGUCGAGGGGCAGCAUGGUCUUAGCUUGCUAAGGCCGAUGGCGACCGGCGCACGGGUGAGUAACACGUAUCCAACCUGCCGUCUACUCUUGGACAGUCUUCUGAAAGGAAGAUUAAUACAAGAUGGCAUCAUGAGUCCGCAUGUUCACAUGAUUAAAGGUAUUCCGGUAGACGAUGGGGAUGCGUUCCAUUAGAUAGUAGGCGGGGUAACGGCCCACCUAGUCUUCGAUGGAUAGGGGUUCUGAGAGGAAGGUCCCCCACAUUGGAACUGAGACACGGUCCAAACUCCUACGGGAGGCAGUAGUGAGGAAUAUUGGUCAAUGGGCGAGAGCCUGAACCAGCCAAGUAGCGUGAAGGAUGACUGCCCUAUGGGUUGUAAACUUCUUUUAUAAAGGAAUAAAGUCGGGUAUGGAUACCCGUUUGCAUGUACUUUAUGAAUAAGGAUCGGCUAACUCCGUGCCAGCAGCCGCGGUAAUACGGAGGAUCCGAGCGUUAUCCGGAUUUAUUGGGUUUAAAGGGAGCGUAGAUGGAUGUUUAAGUCAGUUGUGAAAGUUUGCGGCUCAACCGUAAAAUUGCAGUUGAUACUGGAUAUCUUGAGUGCAGUUGAGGCAGGCGGAAUUCGUGGUGUAGCGGUGAAAUGCUUAGAUAUCACGAAGAACUCCGAUUG
rnacentral:rRNA from 1 species